rnacentral:hammerhead_ribozyme from 1 species
GCACUUCUGAAGAGUCCAACAAUAGGACGGAACGGCUGUCCAGUGC